UACGAAGGGGGCUAGCGUUGUUCGGAAUCACUGGGCGUAAAGGGUGCGUAGGUGGCGCUGUAAGUCGGGUGUGAAAUCCUGAGGCUUAACCUCGGAACUGCAUUCGAUACUGCGGCGCUUGAGGACUGGAGAGGAGACUGGAAUUCAUGGUGUAGCAGUGAAAUGCGUAGAGAUCAUGAGGAAGACCAGUGGCGAAGGCGGGUCUCUGGACAGUUCCUGACACUGAGGCACGAAGGCCAGGGGAGCAAACGGG
rnacentral:rRNA from 1 species